rnacentral:rRNA from 1 species
GACGUAGGACGCGAGCGUUAUCCGGAUUUACUGGGCGUAAAGCGCCUGCAGGCGGUCAGGUAAGUCGGUUGUGAAAGCCCCGUGCUCAACGCGGGGAGGCCAAGCGAUACUGCGUGACUUGAGGGCGGAAGAGGGGAGUGGAAUUCCCGGUGUAGCGGUAAAAUGCGCAGAUAUCGGGAGGAACACCAGUGGCGAAGGCGGCUCCCUGGACCGCACCUGACGCUCAGAGGCGAAAGCUAGGGGAGCGAACAGGAUUAGAGACCCUGGUAGUCCUAGCCCUAAACGCUGGAUGCUAGGUGUAGGGCUGAUGAGGCUCUGUGCCGGAGCGAACGCGAUAAGCAUCCCGCCUGGGAACUACGGCCGCAAGGCUAAAACUCAAACGAAUUGACGGGGACCCGCACAAGCAGCGGAGCGUGUGGUUUAAUUCGAUGCUACACGAAGAACCUUACCUGGGUUUGACAUGCUGGUGGUACCGAACCGAAAGGGGAGGGACCCUUCGGGGAGCCAACACAGGUGCUGCAUGGCUGUCGUCAGCUCGUGCCGUGAGGUGUCGGGUUAAGUCCCGUAACGAGCGCAACCCUUGCUCUUAGUUAUACGUGUCUAAGGGGACUGCCGGCGACAAGCCGGAGGAAGGUGGGGAUGACGUCAAGUCAGCAUGGCCUUGAUAUCCAGGGCUACACACACGCUACAAUGGCCGGUACAAAGGGCAGCCAAGCCGCGAGGUGGAGCGAAUCCCAGCAAAGCCGGUCCCAGUUCGGAUUGCAGGCUGCAACCCGCCUGCAUGAAGUUGGAGUUGCUAGUAACCGCGCGUCAGCCAUAGUGCGGUGAAUACGUACCCGGGUCUUGCACUCACCGCC